GGUCUCCGUUGGUGAACCAGCGGAGGGAUCAUUACCGAGUUUACAACUCCCAAACCCCUGUGAACAUACCUUAAUGUUGCCUCGGCGGAUCAGCCCGCGCCCCGUAAAACGGGACGGCCCGCCAGAGGACCCAAACUCUAAUGUUUCUUAUUGUAACUUCUGAGUAAAACAAACAAAUAAAUCAAAACUUUCAACAACGGAUCUCUUGGUUCUGGCAUCGAUGAAGAACGCAGCAAAAUGCGAUAAGUAAUGUGAAUUGCAGAAUUCAGUGAAUCAUCGAAUCUUUGAACGCACAUUGCGCCCGCUGGUAUUCCGGCGGGCAUGCCUGUUCGAGCGUCAUUUCAACCCUCAAGCCCCCGGGUUUGGUGUUGGGGAUCGGCUCUGCCUUACGGCGGCGCCGCCCCCGAAAUACAUUGGCGGUCUCGCUGCAGCCUCCAUUGCGUAGUAGCUAACACCUCGCAACUGGAACGCGGCGCGGCCAUGCCGUAAAACCCCAACUUCUGAAUGUUGACCUCGGAUCAGGUAGGAAUACCCGCUGAACUUAAGCAUAUCAAUAA
rnacentral:rRNA from 1 species